UUUUUUUUUUUUUUUAAGAAUUUGCACUCUCUUUUUGCCUUUUUCCAACCUUUAAUCCAAUAUCAUCUUCUUUCUAGGUUUCCUCACCAUUAAACACCACAAAUUUAGAGUAAAAACUAUAAUUUAUGAUAUUUGGAUUGAAUGAUUUUCUUGGUUAAUAAACUAAUAAUAAUAUUUCAAUUAUAUUCUUUUUGAAAAUCAAGCACCUUUCUAGAUAUUCCUAACCAAU
rnacentral:misc_RNA from 1 species